rnacentral:rRNA from 1 species
AAGUGAGUGGCGAACGGGUGAGUAACACGUGGGUAACCUGCCCAGAAGUAGGGGAUAACACCUGGAAACAGAUGCUAAUACCGUAUAACAGAGAAAACCGCAUGGUUUUCUUUUAAAAGAUGGCUCUGCUAUCACUUCUGGAUGGACCCGCGGCGUAUUAGCUAGUUGGUGAGGUAAAGGCUCACCAAGGCAGUGAUACGUAGCCGACCUGAGAGGGUAAUCGGCCACAUUGGGACUGAGACACGGCCCAGACUCCUACGGGAGGCAGCAGUAGGGAAUCUUCCACAAUGGACGCAAGUCUGAUGGAGCAACGCCGCGUGAGUGAAGAAGGGUUUCGGCUCGUAAAGCUCUGUUGUUAAAGAAGAACGUGGGUAAGAGUAACUGUUUACCCAGUGACGGUAUUUAACCAGAAAGCCACGGCUAACUACGUGCCAGCAGCCGCGGUAAUACGUAGGUGGCAAGCGUUAUCCGGAUUUAUUGGGCGUAAAGCGAGCGCAGGCGGUCUUUUAAGUCUAAUGUGAAAGCCUUCGGCUCAACCGAAGAAGUGCAUUGGAAACUGGGAGACUUGAGUGCAGAAGAGGACAGUGGAACUCCAUGUGUAGCGGUGAAAUGCGUAGAUAUAUGGAAGAACACCAGUGGCGAAGGC